ensembl:misc_RNA Gm24050 predicted gene, 24050
GGAAACAAGGAUGAUCUGGCUGUGACAUCUCUCACCCCACUGAUCACCAGGGGUGAUAUGUAGCUGGCUGGCUAGGUGGAUGCUCACUCUCUCUCCCCUCACCACUCCUUAUGUGCCCCUUGAAAAGCUGUGUGCUCACUCAGUGGAAAAAGACACCCUUCCCUGAAUGGAGGAGGACUGGUCCUCUGUCAAGAGUAUAUUAGUAGCUGCCUCUCCUGCUAAGAACAGGGAUUCUCAACCUUCUGAGUGCUUUGACCCUCCUUCCUUGUGUUUGUGACCCCCAACUGUA